rnacentral:lncRNA from 1 species
UGGUAAACUGAUACUCUGAAGCAAAGAGAGAUUGAAGAUGUGUCUAAGCACGUGCGAGCGUCUCCUAGCUGAUCAAAAACAUUAACCCUUGUAUGUCUAAUAGCUGCCGAGAAGAUUCUGAAGACAUGCUCGAUCUGUAGGCUGUUAUGGUCUGAACAGCGCGGACCGGAAGUAGUGGGAGGAGCCGGUGUGACGUAACCCUCGGCUUCCUCGCCUGGUCUGUGGUGCUGCCUUCUGUGGCUAAAGUAUUUAUUGCAGCCUUCAGUAAGGUCUUGCUCCCCUUGUGGCUAUGUAUAGUAUUUACGGCUUAUAUGUUUGGUCCUACCCCCUAGUGGUUAAAUGAGGGAAAUACAGCUUGUGUUCUGUAUUCUCUGCAAUAAAUUAUUUUUGUGUUUAAUAGCAUCAUGUCGACGGCAGAAGGGACAUUAUCAUCCGUUGCUUAGACGUCAGCCAAGAAGGAGUGAAAGAGGACUGCAGAAAUCACAUGAUGCAGAUCAACGUCAUCCAUCCCAAUGUGGCACAGGAAAUCCAAGAUCCUGUGUAUGUGUCAGUCAUCAUCAAGUGUGACAAACGCUUGCCUCCUGCUCAUUGCUGUCAUCUAUGCUGUAAACUUAAGUUACCCACUUAAACUGAAAUAUACGUUUGAAGUAUUUCAGAAGCUGUUUCUUGAGCUUGACGUCAUUACAAUGUCACCAAAGGUCCAGUUUCUCCACAAUAAACUUUUAGCGUGAGCGUUCCAGUGCUAUUUGUGCUUUUGUCCAGCACAAACAAUCUCUUUACUUUCGUCAUUUUUCUGACUGAAAUUUCAAGUUUUGCUUAGUUUUUAAGUUAUUUCUGUCCUGAACAUCCUGAGAAUGUCUGCAAAGGUAGCCAUUGCAGUUUAUGUAUGCAUUCUUUGCUGUUCUGAAAAGUCAACUGUAACACUGUAUUCGUUUGUAUGCUGGAAUAUUAGUCCCAAAGUCAGUUGGUGCUUUGUCACUCCGCAUUGAAUUUUUCAAAUCCUAAACGGCUUUACUUUUGAGCUUUUGUGUGUGUGUGUGUGUACAGUUUUCAAAUUUGCUAGCAGGAAGUUCUGUGUGGUUAUGUUAUGUAUUUUAAAUACAUCUAUGCCAUUUCAAAUGUGAAAUAAAAGUGUAUUUCAAACAUCCCUUAAGCUGCA